AGAAUCAACGCUGGCGGCGUGCCUAACACAUGCAAGUCGAACGAGAAAGGGUAGCAAUACCUGAGUAAAGUGGCGCACGGGUGAGUAACACGUGACUAACCUACCUUUUAGUGGGGGAUAACCUAGGGAAACCUGGGCUAAUACCGCAUAAUACCUACGGGUCAAAGCAGCAAUGCGCUGGAAGAGGGGGUCGCGGCCGAUUAGCUAGUUGGCGGGGUAAUGGCCCACCAAGGCAGUGAUCGGUAUCCGGCCUGAGAGGGCGCACGGACACACUGGAACUGAAACACGGUCCAGACUCCUACGGGAGGCAGCAGUGGGGAAUUUGCGCAAUGGGGGAAACCCUGACGCAGCAACGCCGCGUGGAGGAUGAAGACCCUUGGGUCGUAAACUCCUUUCGAUCGGGACGAUAAUGACGGUACCGGAAGAAGAAGCCCGGCUAACUUCGUGCCAGCAGCCGC
rnacentral:rRNA from 1 species